rnacentral:sRNA from 1 species
GCCAGGUGCAGUGGCAUACACCUGUAAUCCCAGUGGCUUGGGGAGGCUGAGGCAGGAGGAUCAUGACUUCAAAGCCAGCCUCAGCAACUUAGCAAGUCUCUGAGCAACUCGGUGAGACCCUGUCUCAA